UACGUAGGGACCGAGCGUUGUCCGGAUUCAUUGGGCGUAAAGAGCUCGUAGGCGGCUGCUCAAGUCGAAUGUGAAAACUCGAGGCUCAACCUCGAGCCUGCAUUCGAUACUGGGCGGCUAGAGUCUGGUAGGGGGAUCUGGAAUUCCUGGUGUAGCGGUGGAAUGCGCAGAUAUCAGGAGGAACACCGGUGGCGAAGGCGGGAUCCUGGGCCAGUACUGACGCUGAGGAGCGAAAGCGUGGGGAGCAAACAGGAUUAGAAACCCCCGUAGUCC
rnacentral:rRNA from 1 species